ensembl:lncRNA
UUUGCGAUUGUGAAGACUUCCCUGGUAUGUGAACGGAUCUACAUAUGCAUCGGGCUUCUACAAUGAGCACCCGAGCCCCGCAGCACUAUGCAGAGACAGCGGGGAGGUAGACGCGAGGAGACAGGCAUCCAAAGGAGGCCAUCUCACUGCUAUGUUUGCUGAUGGUGGUGUGCACACUAGCACGUAACAUUGCAGCGCUAGGUGGAGGCCUCGUUAUGGAGCGGUUUAAAAUACACAAACGCCUCUUGUCUCGGUGCCUGCUGCUCAAUCUAAAAAUUUGACUGAGAUAUUCCACUCCUCAGAGCGCAUUGACAUGCAGGUGUUAGAAUGUUCUGAAUUGCUGGAGCUACUGGAUGUACAGUAAUCACCCUCUUUGUUGUAUUUAUAUUGUAGCGUGCCUUAAGUUCAUAAAUGUAUAUGGCUCUGAUUAAUGUUACUGUUACGUAGGCCAGGGUUGGGGUACCGCCCCUUCCGGGGAAUGUGUGUAGUUUUCGGGGAGCACAGGAAGGGGAAGUUAAGUUCUGACUAGGUUGAUGACCGGGUGUGUGGAAUGGCGUGGCUGUGGCCGACAACAGGCAACAGGUAAGAAAACUUAAGUCUGAUUCUGUUAACGUAAUCGACCGCUCAGGCGUGGGCGGACUACUGUUUGGUGGACGCUUUUUCUGGUGGAGAUGGAGCGUUCUUUUGGCAGAGGUUUUUGUGUCAAGAAGGAGGAGGAGGACAACGAGUACGGAUAUCCUCGUCCUGUUCAAGUGCUGGAAGGACAGCGUUUUUCCGUGGACGGUCUAGGAAGGGGGAUGAUACGUGAGUUACAGCCACCAACAUCCGCUGGGGGUCCUGGCUUAGCGACGGCUAGCGCUGAAGCUAGCUACACGGCGCGCGGAAAAUUGCCGCCCGGGAACGUGCAUGGACAAAACGUAAACAAAGAUGACAGGGACAGCGAGUGCCGGUGAGCAUAAAAACGGCGAAAUAUGUGGGGAAGUCUGACCGGGAGGCUUUUCAUGCUCAGUUUGAGCUUUUAGCUCGUGCAAACACCUGGUCAGAUGAACAGAAAGCCCUCCAGCUCGCCCUUUGUUUGACGGAUGAUGCACUGUCUUGCCUGCUGCUUUUGGACCCGAGUGAGAGGGGUAAUUAUGGAGCCCUGGCUGGUGCUCUAGGGCGCCGGUUUGGACAAUGUUUUCGUUCGGAGCUGCUGCGCUCGGAGCUGCAUGGACGUCAGAGGCGAACUGGGGAAUCCCUGCGCACGUUGGCAAACGACAUCGAAGGACUGACACGACGAGCAUACGCGCAUAUGCCUACGCCAGUGCAAACAGAGUUUGCACAUGAUCAGUUCGUCAGGGCUCUCUCUCCAUCUGAUCUGCGAGCUCACACUCAGUCCUCAGUACUCAGUACUCAGCACAACAACAGCCGCGCCUCUGCUGGGGGUGUGGCCAAGCUGGACACCUGGUGAGGGAUUGCCCAGCCUCGACUAAAGCUCUGGGAAACGGCAAGGGGACGCAGUAGACGGGACGCUGCGUGCCCCCACCCUUAAGUCCCGUUCGUCACUGGUUGUGGCCAGCAGCGCCUCUCAGUACAGCAUGGGCCAGGGGCAGAAUGUGGCUGUGGUGGGAAGGACUUCCAUAUCGGACUUCUGCCAUAUUCCCAUUUGCAUCGAGGGGGUUUCAUGCACCGCCCUAGUGGACACCGGGUCAGCGGUCACAGUGGUCCGGCCGGAGGUGGUGCCAGUGGGUACACAGCUGGAGGACACAGCAGUUCAGCUCCGCACAGUAACUGGUGAGCUAGCACCAAUGAAAGGGAGAGGGCAGCUGAUAUUGACUGUGGGGGGACGGAAAAUGAGAUACACUGUGUGGGUAGCGGAAGUACAAGAUGCCUGUAUUUUAGGCUUGCACUUUUUGCGGGAGCAGGGCUGUCAGUUAGACCUGGGGAAAGCCACACUGAGCUUUAUUGAUGGGCAGGUGGUGCAUAUGAGACCGCUGGAUUCCCAGCGCGCAGCUACACACACAGCCGGACCUCACGGGUGCUGUGUGGGGGAAGGAAAGCAGACAAGGGCUGCCAUGUCGUACCUGUCGGAGCCUUGGCUAGGCCCUGAGCCAGCCUGGACUCGCCGGUCAGGCUGACCCCGUCUGCGGUGGAGGGCUGUGAGAGUCUGCAGGAGUGCGAAGCGAAAAGGAUGACAGCUCUGCGCGAGGUCUGGCAGAGAAGUGCCGGGGACUUGGAUUCUGAGCAGCAGGAGCGACUAUGGCAGCUGCUGAUAGAGUUCCGCGACUGCUUUUCAUGCGACGAGGAGGAGCUGGGACAGUCCUCUCUCGUACAGCACACAAUUGACACGGGUGAUGCGACGCCUAUACGGCAGCGCCCACGUCGCCUCCCCCUGGGCCGACAAGACGCAGCGGAGCGGGCUUUGGAGAAAAUGCAGCGAGCCGGCAUAAUAGAGCCCUCUGAGAGCCCCUGGGCAUCGCCAGUCGUGAUGGUGCCGAGGGAAAGGAGGUCAGUGGCGCUUCUGUGUGGAUUAUAGGAGGCCUAAUGACGUCACUAUUAAGGACUCCUACCCCCUUCCACGCGUGGAUGAAUGUCUGGACCUAGUAGCUGGCUCUUCCUGGUUCUCGUCCUUGGACUUGAGGAGCGGCUAUUGGCAGGUCCCCCUGGCCGAAGAGGCCCGGCCCAAGACCGCAUUCUGCACAGGAAAGGGGCUGUGGCAGUUUAAGGUGCUCUGUUUUGGACUGUGUAAUGCGCCUGCCACAUUCGAACGCUUGAUGGAGAGGGUGUUAGCUGGAGUUCCACACACGGAGUGCCUGGUGUACUUAGAUGACAUUCUGGCCCAUGGCAGCUCAUUUGAUUCAGCUAUGGCAGCACUGCGCCGAGUUAUGGAGAGGAUCAAAGGGGCUGGACUGAAGUUACAGUGUGCAGGCUGCUGUGCAGGGAGCUGACCUUUCUGGGGCACCGAAUAGGCAGCAAGGGUAUCGGCACAGUGGAGGAGAAGGUGCGUGUCAUACGUGAGUGGCCCAGCCCGACAGACCAGAGGGGACUAAAAAGUUUUUUGGGUUUAGCUUCCUAUUACAGGAAAUUCGUGCGGGGAUUUUCAGGCAUUGCGGCCCCCCUGUACAGGCUCCUGCAGAAGGACCAGCCCUUUGUGUGGGCGGAGGACUGUGAAAGCGCAUUCAACACCCUCCAAGAGGCUCUGUCAAGCGCACCCAUCCUGGCAGCCCCUGACCCCGAAGUGCCUUUUGUUCUGGACACAAGACGCUAGCGGCGAUGGAGUGGGGGCAGUCUUAUCACAGGCAGGGCCGGAAGGAGAGAGGGUUGUGGCCUACUACAGCAAAGCCCUGAAUAAAGCUGAGCGGCUUACUGUCGUCUUUGCCGCACGGCAUUUUAAGUACUACUUGUGUGGCCGCCCCUUCACUGUACGCACUGAUCAUGCCUCACUGCAGUGGCUGAUAUUCCGAGAGCCUGAGGGACAGCUGGCUCGUUGCAGUGAAGUGAAGUGAAGUAGACUGCCGGUAUUGUGGCCGCAGAGAGGUCACAGAACAGCAGCUGGUUCUGGGGCCAAACAAGCGGGACAGAGAGGAGUGUGAAGAGACUGUCAGGGCUUGUAGAGAGCUGCUGGUGGUAGACAAUGCUAUCUGGGCCGCGGAACAGCAACAAGACCCGGACGUGCAGCCAGUGAUGCUGUGGGUUGAGGCGCGGCAGCGGCCGCCCUGGGAGGAGGUGGCCGCUCUCUCCCCAUGGACAAAAGGGCUGUGGGCUAAAUUUAAUUCUUUGCAGCUGGCUGAUGGGGUCCUUCAGCGGGCAUGGUUAGAACCAGCGUCGGGAGAGAAAAAGUGGCAGACGGUGGUACCCAGAGGGAUGCAGGGGGCUGUUCUCGAAGCCAUGCAUGGCUCUGCAGGCUCCGGUCACUUUGGGGUGACCAAAACACUCCGGCGGGUCCGUCAGGCCUUCUAUUGGGGGCGGCUUAAAGACUUUGUCCUCGGGGACGAGGACUUAAGAAGGGGGGGGGUAAUGUAGCGUGCCUUAAGUUCAUAAAUGUAUAUGGCUCUGAUUAAUGUUACUGUUACGUAGGCCAGGGUUGGGGUACCGCCCCUUCCGGGGAAUGUGUGUAGUUUUCGGGGAGCACAGGAAGGGGAAGUUGAGUUCUGACUAGGUUGAUGACCGGGUGUGUGGAAUGGCGUGGCUGUGGCCGACAACAGGCAACAAUAAACCCGAGUGAUAAGAACCUGGCUCUUUAUUGACACGAAACGUUACAAUAUGUAUAUUGAGACAACACACCCUGAGAGGGUGAGAUGCCUUUUCGCUUAGUGUUGUCUCAAUGGGGCAUUUAUUUCAUUGACUGACAUGGGGUUUAGUGUGGUUGUUCUUGAGAUUGUUGGUUACCUUUUAAAGCCCCUUAGCUUGCCCAGCACAAGUAAGCAUUGGUCCAUUCCAUACCUCAUGAAGCUGACAGGUGCACACCGGUCUAAUUUUGUCCUUGGAGACAUUCGCAAGGCCCCGCAUGCGAUUUAUCAGCAGGUCACCGACGAGGCUCCACAGAGACUGAUGAAGUGGUAUCAGAUGGCGGCCUGUGAGGAGUUAUGAGCGUGCUCGUCAAUAAAGUCCUUCACGGGCUACGCCACAGCAUGUAGUGGAAGCAGAGCGGUGACCGUUAACUGCCAUAACUGACCAUGAAUGCCGGUGUCAAGAUGGAGGGAGCCCCUACCCCCUUCAAGACAAAUGCAGAUGGUUGGAGAUUUAUAGGGAAUUGGGUUGUGAUAUUUGAACCACUUGUCAAAAAGAUUGGAUGCAAUGACAAGAAAAUGUGGGCUCCAUAUUUUCUUGCAAGGGACAGCAGCAAUUUUGUUUGCAUAGCAUGAUAGUGGCAAAAAAUGAUAAAAUGUUGUGUCACGGCUCUGUGGAACAAACACUCUUUGAAAUGAUGGUACAUGUUUGAACUGAUGGAACAGAGAACGAGACACUUCAAUUGGUUUGCAUCCAAAGAUGCACUAAGAAAACAUGGUGAGAGAGUGAUAACUUCAGCAUCAUUUUACAUGUGGCUCUAAGACAUUUCAAAAUUUAGCAGAUUUAUGAAGUCGCACAUCCUUGAUUGACAUGAGGCAUCGACUGUGAGAGUUGCCCCUGGUUGCUGACCACUUUAAUUACCCGCACCCAAAUGAUGGUAAAUCAAUAGUGUAAUGCAAGGUGAGAAAAAUCAAUUUGUUCUCAAUUACGCUGUAAUCAGCACUAUCAAAGCUUCUCCUCUCCUUCUCAUACAGUUUGAGCACCAGAGAGAAUUGGAUUAUAGUAAUUAAAUAAUCUGGUCAAAUAGCUCAUAUUUGGGCUGCUAAAGUCUUUGACAAACAUGUUUUUAAGAAGAAAAUGUUGUAUAAAUAAGGCUGUGAAUAAUAUUUGAACAAACCCCUUUGGAAUGUGCCCAUCUGUGCUACGGAAGUUGAGAUUUCUGGCUCAGACUGAGGAAUAAAUAAUUUGGAAUGGACGGUAUCUAAAGAUAGUACAUUCAUUUGGCUAGACACUGAAAUAAAAUGAGAUCAAAAUAUUUACAGAUAUCUGCAUGAAAACUUUACUUUAGUUGAUGGCCGACAGUAAGGCAAUUCGUUUUUGUAUUACAAAUGAUUCUGAAUAUGCAUGAAUAUGCAAUUGGUGUAUCAUCUAAUUCAGACAGUUUACUGUACUUUUUCAGAAUUUAAGAGAAAUAUGCAGAUGGACAGUAAAAUAAUUACUUUGUGUAUUUUGGAGGCAAAAUAGCCCAAAAAAAUGUUUUCUUUGUUGUGAAGAGGCUGGAAUCAGAUUUAGCCAGUUCUUAAUCAAAGACUUUAUGUGUAUCAGACUCAGGGGACUGAACCUUAGAAGAGAUGGAUACUCAGAGGCUACUAAAUAAAAGAAAAUAAAGCCUGAUAAAUCAGGAUUAUCCCCUUAAUCUGGUAUGUACUGGCCAGGGAGAGCCGUAUCCUCUCAUCUGAAAAAACUUGCAAACACGUGCACACAAAGACACACACACAAAAACCGUGCUGCACUGCCACCUAGCAGCCAAAUCAAAAACACUCUGAGCCAACGCAUUUUUUUAAGUCAAAGGAAGCAGCGCUUUUUCGGAAGAAUGUCAACAGCUUUUCUUAUGAAAUGCAAAACCUUCCUUGUCAUUAUUGAAGAUUAUUACAACAAAGCUCUCUCUGUGGGUCUGAAUCUUUUUGCAGUUCACUGCAUCUGACUCUUACUGGUUUUGUGUUCGUGUCUGUGUGUGUGUGUAUUUCCCCCACGGCGAUUACACAGUUAUGCUAAUUAAGUAAGAUGAACAGAUCAAGUGGGCCACUGACGUGACGCCCGCUCUGUGCAAGCACCGCUGUGACUCACCAAGUCACGGUGCGUGACCAAAGGUAGUUGGAGGGUUACGUUACGGGGGGCUGGUUGCUUCUGCUUCACCCCGCCCUGCCAGAGGACAGCAUUGCUACCUUUUCCAGUGUAUCAGUGAUUACUCCCAGGCGAAACAGUCGAUACCACAUGUUUGGACACAUAAUCAUUGUUGUCAUCCGUCAGAUACAGCAGAUUAGACCUCACUUGGUUUACAGAUGACGGAGAUUGGUUCCAGGCAAAGUUGUGGUAUGUGUUUCGCCACAGGUGAGCGGCAGGGUGGAGGCAUAGAGGCCCCGUCAGAUGAUGCUUCCUGUGGACAUCCCGAUACCCCACUGGAUUAAAAAGCUUUACUAUAGGGUUGUAGGGAAAAAAAGCAGGAUGCCGCUACAUAACCUGUUGAGACAUAGUCAAGCAGAGACCAUUAUGGACCUAGGACCCUUUAAUGCAUUCAUUCUGACUGAGUGAACUAGCUAUUCCAAGCCACCUGAUAAGUUGUCAACAAGCUGGAGAACAGAGGGGAGCAUGUAGCAGUGAAACAGACCCAGCAGUUGGUUGAGACCAAACAAAAGCUCAAAGGUUGAUAAAUAUAUUGUUUGUUAUGUGCCGUAACAAAAACAUCACCUCAAAUGAUUUCCAAUGUUACUGCGAAUGCAAAUGUUAAAUCAGGUUUACAUUAUCAACCUUUUUUAGAUGAUACUAUGACCAUUGUUGUGUUCGUUUGGCUGCAGCAAAAACCAAAGAAAAUCAUGCAGCUUUAAGGCUGCAUUCAAAUACUGGACUUGUAUUUCCAUCAUCUUUUUAGAAAAGGUAAAUGAAUGAGCACAAAUCAAAAAUGGCCAGAGGCAAAUGUUUUGCAGCUUUAUUAUUGUAGCAGGUCCCUCUUGUACAUCAACCUUUCAACAAAUGGUGUGUUUGUGCGUACACGACCAAUUCUCCGGCUGUGUCCGUGGUGCUGAUCAAAGGUUUGCCUUGCUUGCAUGGUAAAAAAUAAAUGAUCAGCAUUGCAAUUGUCUGGAGUGAUUGUGCGUGUGCGGGCAGAAGCGUCUCGUCAUUAUGAGGGCGAGGGCUCAGCAAAAAGGUCUUAAAAACCUUCUCACCCUGAUUGUCGGAGGAUGGUAUGUUUUUUUUAAACUUCAGUGCCUUUGGGUUGCGGAGUGAACAUGGAUACCCACAAGGUGUUUAUUUUAAUGACACGUUACAAAAUGAUUCAUAAUCUAAUUUUUUAAAUUUCUUAUCCGUUCACUCAUUCAUUGGUGCAGCAAUAGUCCUGAUCAAGCUGAUUUGCAGAAUGAUUAAGUCUAGGGCAACUUACCUUUUGGUAACACGCAUGAGGAUAAAGAUUGUGGUAAUGGGUUUUGGUGACACGCAAAUAUUAGCUGUUAUUUUACAGAAUGAUUUCUUAUCAAUGGAACGUCCCAAGGCAGAACAAAACAAACACACCAACAUGCUCAUCAAGCUGAAGUGGGAGAACGAUGUGUGGUGGGGGGGCACAAACAUGCAGCUGCUGUUGAUUGGAAAUAUUCUACAAUAUCUUACAGCUAAAUUAGCUAUGCAAUAAAAAAAACAAUCUGUGCAUGUUAACAUGAGUGUAUAUAAGUGUUUUGCUGACAUUUAUUUAGCUGCUGUUGUUUUUAUAGACUGUAUUGAUUGAUUUCCCCUGACUUACGAUUGCAAUAUUACUUUUAGAUAAAAGUACAUACCUAUUUUAAUUUAAAAUGACCAUAAAUGGGCCAAAGGAUUCAUGUAAUAAUUCAUUUUGAACUAAUUAUUUUACCAUAUUUUCUGUUUUGUAUGUAAAUGACUUGCCAAUUUCACAAACCCUCUUUUAAUGGAUGUUAUCGAUUAGUGGAUAGAGGCUUCAUAGGUGAGUUGUCUUGUUUAGGUACCUGCUGUUAUUAUAUCCAAGAAUUAUUCAUCAAUCAAAUCACAAGAAUGUCAGCUUUCCUAAGACAUCUAGACUAGUGUGCAAACGCCCUAUGGACAGCCGACGAUACCUGCUUCUUAUGAACUAUCGAUACAAGUGUUUUUUUGAAGCCUUGUGUUUAGCAUUACGGCAGUCUUGUCUUUUUGAGACCAGACAUGACAGGAGAGGACAGAGGUGGUUGCAAGUGAAUAGGCGUCCAAAAUUACUGCGCGUGUUACUAAUGCAAAACAGACCAAAGCUAUUUUGUGCCAAAAAAGAUUCGUACAUAGACGUCCUGUCUUGACAUCUUAUCAUCGUCACUUCUAGAGCUGUAUUUCCUUGGUUCAAUUGCUCUACUAAUCAGCUGAGUAUACAGAACAUAAAAUAAAAUAUAUUUUAAAAAUACCACUUUUAUUCAGCUAUCUAAAUCUAAUUGUAAACUGACAUUACAUCCAAAACAAUGGAUUCCCUUUCUGCUGCUUGAUACAGCUGCUUUGAAAACACCUUUCAGAUUGGGGAAGAGCCCACUGACCAGGAGGUCAUCUUGAAACCAGCAGAGAGGUUAAUGAAAUGUGAACUCACAGUUGGUUCUGAGCGCAGUCAGGCCUGCUGGUGCUUUUUAGACAGAGCUCACUUCGUGAAGGUCCUGGUCUGCUUUCAGGUGCAUCUCCCAGCUCCUGGUGGCAGGUAAUUGCUGUCGUGUUGAGAGCUGAAGCCUGGCAUGGGUUUGACAUUACGUCAAAACCUGUGCAUGCGUGAAUGUCAGUAAGUGUGUGUUCUUGUGUGAGAAAGGGUUUAGGUUGAAAACGCUGACAGAAACCUCAAAGUUGUUGAGGGUUUCUGCUGGUAAUGUGAUGCUGGAAUAGCCUUCAUUAGAUUUUCGGGGCACAUCUGUGAAUAGAUCAAACGGGUCAGGUGCAUCAUUUUAGCCCCUCCAUUUGAUCCAUUCCUUCUUACCUGUCCAAGCUGGAACGGGCAAUGUUGACACGUGGCCGCUUUCCCCUGUACUGCGUCUGCGUGGUAAAGAAAAAACGUAAUUUGCGUGGCCUACUCUAAGCAUUUAAUCAACCAAUAAGUGUGAGCGGUAUUUAAAAGUGAAAGAGGAAUUAUACUGUACUAUGUGUAGCUGCUACUAUUAUACGAGAUGCCAUAUGUUCAUUGACAUGAUCCUCCUGAGUAAUUAGGGAUCCAAUCAAAUUAUACUUCUUUCUGAAAGCAAACUCCAAAUCUAACAGCUCUAACAACCUUAUGAACAAUGAGGGCACAAAUACACUGGUAACAUGAGGCAUAAUACAAAAUAGUUUUAAUGCGUGAAUAUAACAAAAUUAUUAAGCUUAAAACUGCCACCCUGAGACUGUAAUUAUCCCAGCACAAAGAAACCGCUGCCCUCACACACAGUCUUCAACGUAUCCCAGUAGAAAAAGUGAUUGAGUAUUUGUCAAAAAUGUCAAACUACUCUGUUAACUAUAACAAUGCACAUGUUUAUUAUGAAAAUGGCACCUUUAUUCCAAUUGUCACACGUGAAAAGUGACCUUUGUAUUGAAGUCAUUCUAACCAUACAGGGAAGUGAACUAGGGUCAAGUGCCCGGGGAGCAAAUCGAAAUUCAAUGUGUCACUCAAAGAAGUUUGAACUUGCGGAGACAACAAAGUUGGGAAUCAAACCACCAACCUUGUGUUUUAAACCCACAUGCUAUUAAAAAAAGGUGCAUGUUUUAUCUAUUGUCUUUACAGCUUGUCUACCUUCUUUUUUUCCUCCCUAGAUUUCCCACACAGUCUUUAAUGCUCCGCGUUGCUGCCUAUCUACAUAUAGGCUGGAGUAUGAUUGAGUCAUGUUCUCUCCUCUGCAUCACUCCCUCACACAUACACACACACAAAGACUCAUUUGUGAUGUUUCGAUCCUCCAUUCACCUUACAUAGCAAUUGGACUUCAGAUCCUACAUGUCUCAUGUGCUAAAUAAACCAGCAGGGCUCCUGGCACAUCGGCCACGAACCACCCUCGCUGCUUCUCUAGAGAGAGGACUUAAGAGCCGGCAGAGGGUUUCUCUGAAGCCCCCGGGUUGGCUUCGAUCGCGGAAAGCUGAUUUUCGACACAGCUAUAAUCAUCCGUGGAGCCUGUGCGUUGCUGUUAGCCCUUAUAGGAGACCAUCCCACCGCUCCUUGAGAGUGAAAGCCUGGUGAUUGGAGUGUGGCUACUGUGAAGAAGAUGGACUGACGUUCGGGCUGUUGAGGUAAUCACCGGCACUCAUGCACCUGGGCUUGAAAUCCAUUGAAUCAAGGCUUUGCUUCCUGUAAUUAUCCGUCUUGAUCUGUAAUCUUCAAAAAGUACUCUUAUCUUUAUGUGAGUGGAACACUGAGGCCGUGUUGGUAUGAAAAUAGAAUGAUUGAUACUUGAGCAAAGAGCAGACUGCUUUUCAUGCACAUUGGGAAUGCAAUGUAUUUUUCAGUAUGCACAACCUCUGAUGUGCACACUGGACUCUUCCUGAGGUGAGAGGGACGGGUGUGUGUGCUGCUUUUCUAAAAUCAAUCGGCGAUUGAUGAAUUAACAUUCUCAUUCAGACAGUCAGAAGGCAUUUGCAGGCAAUUAAAGACCUAAAAUAUAUGUACAUGUACGUAUACUACACACAUACAGUAAAAGUGUUUCCCCCCUUCCUGAUUUCUUAUUUUUUUUGCAUUUUUGUCACACUUAAAUGUUUCAGAUCAUCAAACUAAUUUAAAUAUUAGACAAAGAUAACACAAGUAAACACACAAUGCAGUUUUUAAAUGAAGGUUUUUGUUAUUAAAGGGAGAAAAAAAUCCAAACCUUCAUGGCCCUGUGUGAAAAAGUGAUUGCCCUCUAAACCUAAUAACUGGUUGGGCCACCCUUAGCAGCAACAACUGCAAUCAAGCGUUUGCGAUAACUGGCAAUGAGUCUUUUACAGCGCUGUGGAGAAAUUUUGGCCCACUCAUCUUUGCAGAAUUGUUGUAAUUCAGCCACAUUGGAGGGUUUACGAGCAUGAACCGCCUUUUUAAGGUCAUUCCACGGCAUCUCAAUCAGAUUCAGGUCGGGACUUUGACUGAAUUUUCCUGACCACAUGGCAGAGAUGCUCGCCGAGGGCCUCAAAGAGUGCUGGCAGCUCUUAACCUGGAGUAAGGAAGUCUUGAGGUGUAGCUGGUUAGCAUAGUAAAUAUAGAAUAUGUUAAAAUAAUUUAAAAAAUACACCAAAGCACCAAUAAUUACUCUGCAAUACUAAUUUGAGUAGGUAAUUUAUCCUGGCCAGUCACUUAAAGUCACUUCUCAAAGCUUGUUUGCAAUCUCAAAUAGAUGCUGUGCAAGUGUUGAAAUGGGGAUGGGGGCAUUGAGAUAUGACUUCUCCUGUUACAUUGAUCCCCUUAUUUAUUUGUACAGUCUCAGACUGUCGGUCUGAUUUUUCCAGCCUAAUUUGGAAGGCAGUGCUAGGUUGAUUCAUUAGCUUGACUCACAGUUGGCAACAGACAGUAAAUUGGACUCAAGAGACAAGAUUAAUUCUUGAUUGGCUACGCAAUCCUGUCACUCUAUCAAGUAGGCAGCCCUCUGCCUGUCAAUACUAUUACCAUCAGUUUCUUACAGGAGACUUCCCCCCCACCUCUUGACUAUCCUCUAUAUCAGCCACAUCAACUCAUAACCUCUGUAUGUUUGCCAGGUAUGUCGUGUUCGUAGCUAAAGUUAGUCUGCUGCAGGGUGUGCAACUGUUAUGAUGCCACGAGGUACUCUUAAGAAGACGCUAACCUCUAUGUUCGCCAGGAUGUCUAACGUCACAAAAUAAACGGUCGAUUGGAGCCGAAUGUCGUACGUGUCCUGGUGGUGAUUUUAAAAACACAACGCAAGAGAGAGAGUACAACCGUUCCCUUUUCAUGAUGCCCAUUGGUGUGAAUUUAAGGAGGAUGCCCCAUGUUUGCGCAGACAUUGAAUGUCCAAAUCAUGCAGAGUAUUGGUUGUUUAUUCUCAAAAUAGUCCAGCCAAGUAUGAAUGUUCAUCUGGGCGCAAUGUUGUAUAUUCCCUAACCUGGUUACUCUGGUUCCUUUCUUAAUGAGCUUGCAUGCUCUCGUUUCCAACACGCCACCACCGUCAGGCAGCUAAUGGCAAACCAUGUAAGCUCUUGUGCUUUCCCGUAGGAGCUCCACUGACGAAACUAGAGAGCGGUGGAUGUGAAGGCAUUAGUCCGACGCAAACACUCAGAGCAAUUGAUGAAACCUCACUACCAUCCCUGCUUUGCCUGUGAUGUGUGGGGAUGAUUCACACUUCCCAAGCUCUGCUCCCCUCUCCUCCACUUGAUAUCACAUAUUGGCAAGUGUGUUGGCGCCUUUCAUCCAUGCUGCAGUUUUGCUUCCUGGCACUGCUUAUUGACUCCCAGCAUAUGACGGAGCUCUUCUAAACUCCGCUGAGUGCUCGCCAGGCGUUUGGACCGGAGCCUAAAGCGGCAGCACGCGGCUUCCAGUCCCCCUCGGGCUCCGUGUGUGUUUGAUACGCUGUGUUUGGCGCCUCGCAGUCGACCGUGCGCUCACUGAGCCAUGCCAUGGGAACAGGACUGCCCUUCCUGUGUUCUGACAAUGCCUUCCUUGGGCCCGGUAAACAAGUCUGCUUGUUAGUGUAGCUAUUGUAAGCUUUGUGAAGGAGAUGUAGGGAACAGAAAUAAUGUGCUCCCACCUCCUUCAUCCCGCAGGCGAGUCGUUUCAGAAGGUGUUCACAGCGUCUCCAGUGUGCUCUAAUUCAUGAAAAUCUUUUUCUCUGUGGAAAAAGUUUAUCAUUCCAACUUUUGCAGAGCAAGUGUCUUUACCUUUUUUCUAUCACAAGUAUUCCUUCAUGACCAAAGGGAAUGCACCUAGUUAGCUAAGAGCAACAUGGAAAUAUCCUGCUACUGCUUUUAAGACAGGGUGAGCUUUCGUCUGCGCCCCAAUUAAAAGUGAACAUGAAUA